AUGAGGAUCACCAAACAAUGCAACCUGCCACUUUCUUUGAGCAAGCAUUAUCGCUCAAAUGUGUUGUGUGAUGUAGUUGAUAUGGACGCCAGCCAUGUUCUUCUUGGGAGACCUUGGCAGUUUGAUGUGGAUACUACACACAAGGGUAGGAAAAAUUCUUACUCUUUCAUUUGGAACAAGAGAAAGAUCAUUAUUCUACCAAAUAAAACUGAUGGUAAUAUCUCUAAGGAAGAGGGGGAAAGUAUGUUAACUAUCUCCCACACCUCUAAUGAGUUUAUGGAAGACUUGAAGGAGGCAGAUUUGUGUGCUGCACUUAUAGUAAAAGGAGAAGAGCGCCCGGUUAUUGAAAUUCCAGCAAAGGUACGUGGCUUAUUAGCAGAAUUUUAUAACAUACUAGGAUAG
rnacentral:rRNA from 1 species